GCAUCAGGGUCUCAAGUGGCAGAAGCUCAGCCCGGAGCUCCGGCAGCAAUCCCGGAAGUCACAAGACCAUCCCUGGCGGUCAGAAUCACAUAGAUGCAGCUCUCUUCUCCGGCAGCGACACCCGCGGCGGCCUGAAACCCCUUUUUGACGGCGGUAAGUCCGAUCAAGGCGGCACCGGCGACGCAAGCGCGGCUGGACAAGGUGGCUGAACCCCGGCUCAGCCGCAGAUCUCUCUGUCUCACCUGUUCGGUGUGACUGGACGGUCUUCUCCUCAAUGGCACGGCGGCAGAGCAAAUCAGAUUGGCGGCGGCAGAGGUUACGGCGCGCUCGGCGGCGACGCGGGCUGGGGGUGCCGGCGACAGCGGUGGCUUCACCUUCUCCGCGCGCGCUCCUCCUUCUCCAUCGGUGGCUAUGGCUCGCGCUCUCUCCAGGUCGCGGUUCUGCCUGUGACGCUGCCCAAGGAUGAUCGGCGAAGGCAGAGACGGCUGGGCGUUAGCGACGGCAACCCGUGGUGGCAGUGGCACGGCUUGCUCUCUCUCGAUCUCCACCCUUGGAUGUGCGACGGCGUUCCUCUCUCUCCCCUCCUCCCUCAAUUUCAUUUUUCUGCCUC